rnacentral:rRNA from 1 species
UGGCGGCGUGCCUAAUACAUGCAAGUCGAACGGUCUUUCUAUGGAAGCUUGCUUCCACUGAGAAGAUAGUGGCGAACGGGUGAGUAACACGUGGGUAACCUGCCCAUAAGAGGGGGAUAACAUCCGGAAACGGGUGCUAAUACCGCAUAGUUUUCUUGAUCGCAUGAUCGGGAAAGGAAAGACGGCCUUUGUGCUGUCGCUUAUGGAUGGACCCGCGGCGUAUUAGUUAGUUGGUGAGGUAACGGCUCACCAAGACGAUGAUACGUAGCCGACCUGAGAGGGUGAUCGGCCACAUUGGGACUGAGACACGGCCCAAACUCCUACGGGAGGCAGCAGUAGGGAAUCUUCCGCAAUGGACGAAAGUCUGACGGAGCAACGCCGCGUGAGUGAAGAAGGUUUUCGGAAUCGUAAAACUCUGUUGUCAGAGAAGAACAAGUUGGAGAGUAACUGCUCCAGCCUUGACGGUAUCUGACCAGAAAGCCACGGCUAACUACGUGCCAGCAGCAGC